rnacentral:rRNA from 1 species
GACGGACGCUGGCGGCAUGCCUAAUACAUGCAAGUCGAGCGAACAGAUGAAGUGCUUGCACUUCUGACGUUAGCGGCGAACGGGUGAGUAACACGUAAGGAAUCUACCUAUAAGCGGAGGAUAACAUUCGGAAACGGGUGCUAAUACCGCAUAAUAUCUUCUUCCGCAUGGAAGAAGAUUGAAAGACGGCUCUGCUGUCUCUUAUAGAUGACACUUCGGUGCAUUAGUUAGUUGGUGGGGUAAUGGCCUACCAAGACGAUGAUGCAUAGCCGACCUGGGAGGGUGAUCGGCCACAUUGGGACUGAGACACGGCCCAAACUCCUACGGGAGGCAGCAGUAGGGAAUCUUCCGCAAUGGACGAAAGUCUGACGGAGCAACGCCGCGUGAGUGAUGAAGGCUUUCGGGUCGUAAAACUCUGUUGUUAGGGAAGAACAAGUACGAGAGUAACUGCUCAUACCUUGACGGUACCUAACCAGAAAGCCACGGCUAACUACGUGCCAGCAGCAGCCGCGG